rnacentral:rRNA from 1 species
UGACCGCUGGCGGCGUGCCUAAUACAUGCCAGUCGAGCGAACAGACGAGGAGCUUGCUCCUCUGACGUUAGCGGCGGACGGGUGAGUAACACGUGGAUAACCUACCUAUAAGACUGGGAUAACUUCGGGAAACCGGAGCUAAUACCGGAUAAUAUAUUGAACCGCAUGGUUCAAUAGUGAAAGACGGUUUUGCUGUCACUUAUAGAUGGAUCCGCGCCGCAUUAGCUAGUUGGUAAGGUAACGGCUUACCAAGGCAACGAUGCGUAGCCGACCUGAGAGGGUGAUCGGCCACACUGGAACUGAGACACGGUCCAGACUCCUACGGGAGGCAGCAGUAGGGAAUCUUCCGCAAUGGGCGAAAGCUUGACGGAGCAACGCCGCGUGAGUGAUGAAGGUCUUCGGAUCGUAAAACUCUGUUAUUAGGGAAGAACAAAUGUGUAAGUAACUAUGCACGUCUUGACGGUACCUAAUCAGAAAGCCACGGCUAACUACGUG